AGCACCCCCAGGGCCAUGGGGUGGCAGGGGCAGCCAGAGCCUCUGGGACUGAGCCACGAGAGAGAUGGGGUGCAGAAACACCAGGGCAUGUGGAGGGGCAGCCAGAGCAUGCAGGAUCAUGCAGAGGCCAUGCUGGGGACACUGGUGCAGCUCUCCACAGGAAUACAGCCAUGGAAAGACACUGCCUCCUCUACCACCACAGCCACAGGAGGACAUCACAGCCCCCAGACCCUCCCCAUCAACACUCUGCACUCCUCUCUCUCUUCCCAGCCCAAGUCCAAAGCAAAGAAAGAAAGGAGAUAAAGAAGGGAAGAAAGAAAUAAAAAACUAAAACAAAUGAAAACUAAAACAAAAAGCAGCAGUUGGGAGGCAGCCUUGUUAGGACAACUCAGCAAAAUAAAAUUCCGGUUUAUUGUUGGACAACAUUGUUUCACACAUACAUCAAACAGGCCAAAAAAAAAAGAAAAAAUAAAAAUAAA